AUUGAACGCUGGCGGCAGGCUUAACACAUGCAAGUCGAGCGGUUUAAUGUACUUGUACAUUAGAUAGCGGCGGACGGGUGAGUAAUACUUAGGAAUCUACCUAUUAAUGGGGGACAACAUUUCGAAAGGGAUGCUAAUACCGCAUACGCCCUACGGGGAAAGCAGGGAGUCUUCGGACCUUGCGUUAAUAGAUGAGCCUAAGUCGGAUUAGCUAGUUGGUGGGGUAAAGGCCUACCAAGGCGACGAUCUGUAGCGGGUCUGAGAGGAUGAUCCGCCACACUGGGACUGAGACACGGCCCAGACUCCUACGGGAGGCAGCAGUGGGGAAUAUUGGACAAUGGGGGGAACCCGUGAUCCAGCCAUGCCGCGUGUGUGAAGAAGGCCUUUUGGUUGUAAAGCACUUUAAGCGAGGAGGAGGCUACUGGUACUAAUACUACCAGCUAGUGGACGUUACUCGCAGAAUAAGCACCGGCUAACUCUGUG
rnacentral:rRNA from 1 species